GUACACUCCUACGGGAGGCAGCAGUGGGGAAUUUUGGACAAUGGGCGAAAGCCUGAUCCAGCAAUGCCGCGUGAGUGAAGAAGGCCUUCGGGUUGUAAAGCUCUUUUGUCAGGGAAGAAACGGUGAAAGCUAAUAUCUUUUGCUAAUGACGGUACCUGAAGAAUAAGCACCGGCUAACUACGUGCCAGCAGCCGCGGUAAUACGUAGGGUGCAAGCGUUAAUCGGAAUUACUGGGCGUAAAGCGUGCGCAGGCGGUUUUGUAAGUCUGAUGUGAAAUCCCCGGGCUCAACCUGGGAAUUGCAUUGGAGACUGCAAGGCUAGAAUCUGGCAGAGGGGGGUAGAAUUCCACGUGUAGCAGUGAAAUGCGUAGAUAUGUGGAGGAACACCGAUGGCGAAGGCAGCCCCCUGGGUCAAGAUUGACGCUCAUGCACGAAAGCGUGGGGAGCAAACCGGAUUAGAUACCCCAGUAGUCCCA
rnacentral:rRNA from 1 species